AUGAAGCAGAGUUCGAACGUGCCGGCUUUCCUCAGCAAGCUAUGGACGCUUGUGGAGGAAACCCACACCAACGAGUUCAUCACCUGGAGCCAGAAUGGCCAGAGUUUUCUGGUUUUGGAUGAACAAAGAUUUGCAAAAGAAAUUCUUCCCAAAUAUUUCAAGCACAAUAAUAUGGCAAGCUUUGUGAGGCAAUUGAAUAUGUAUGGUUUCCAUAAGGUUGUGCAUAUUGACUCUGGAAUUGUAAAGCAGGAAUGAGAUGGUCCUGUUGAAUUUCAGCAUCCUUACUUCAAACAAGGCCAGGAUGACUUGUUGGAGAACAUUAAAAGGAAGGUUUCAUCUUCAAAACCAGAAGAAAAUAAGAUUCGUCAGGAUGAUUUAUCAAAAAUUAUAAGUAGUGCUCAGAAGGUUCAAAUAAAACAAGAAACUAUUGAGUCCAGGCUUUCUGAAUUAAAAAGUGAGAAUGAGUCUCUAUGGAAGGAGGUGUCAGAAUUAAGAGCAAAACACGCACAACAGCAACAAGUUAUUCGAAAGAUUGUCCAGUUUAUUGUUACAUUGGUUCAGAAUAACCAACUUGUGAGUUUAAAACGUAAAAGGCCUCUACUUCUAAACACUAAUGGAGCCCAAAAGAAGAAUCUGUUUCAGCAUAUAGUCAAAGAACCAGCUGAUAAUCACCAUCAUAAAGUUCCACACAGUAGGACUGAAGGUUUAAAGGCAAGGGAGCGGAUUUCAGAUGACAUCAUCAUUUAUGAUGUAACUGAUGAUAACACAGAUGAAGAAAAUAUCCCAAUUAUUCCAGAAACUAAUAAGGAUGUUAUAUCUGAUCCCUCCAACUGUAGCCAAUACCCUGAUAUUGUCAUUCUUGGAGAUGACAAUGAAGAUGAGUAUGCACCUGUCAUUCAGAGUGGAGAUCAGAAUGAACCAGCCAGAGAAUCCCUAAGUUCAUGGCACCAGUCCUCUUAUGUCUAGUGCUGUCCAGCUAAAUGGCUCAUCUAGUCUGACCACAGAAGAUCCUGUGACCAUGAUGGGUUCCAUUUUAAAUGAUAACAUCAAUCUUCUGGGAAAGGUUGAGCUGUUGGAUUAUCUUGACAGUAUUGAUUGCAGCUUAGAGGACUUCCAAGCCAUGCUGUCAGGAAGACAGUUUAGCAUAGACCCAGAUCUCCUGAUUGAUUCUGAGAAUAAAGGAUUAGAAACUACCAAGAACAAUGUAGUUCAGCUAGUUUCAGAAGAGGGAAGAAAAUCUAAACCCAAAACAGAUAAGCAGCUUAUUCAGUACACUGCCUUUCCACUUCUUGCAUUCCUCGAUGGGAACCCUGCUUCUACUGUUGAACAGGGGAGUACAGCAUCAUCAGAAGUUAUGUCCUCUGUAGAAAAACCCAUAGAAGUUGAUGAGCUUCUGGAUAGCAGCCUAGAUCCAGAGCCAACCCAGAGUAAGCUUGUUCGCCUGGAGCCAUUGACUGAAGCCGAAGCUUGCGAAGCCACACUGUUUUAUUUAUGUGAACUUGCUCCUGCACCUCUGGAUAGUGAUAUGCCACUUUUAGACAGCUAAAUCCCCAGGAAGUGGACUCUACAUGUAUAUAUUCAUCAAAAUGAUGAACUAUUUAUUUUAAAGUAUCAUUUGGUACUUUUUUUUGUAAAUUGCUUUGUUUUGUUUAAUCAGAUACUGUGGAAUCAAAAGCACCUUUUGCUUUUCUCACUUACACACUCUUGCAAAGCUUUCAGAUGUUACUCAGCUACGUAGGUACACAAAAUUUAAUGCACAUUGUUGGCAUUAUCUUUAAGUUGGAUUCAAAUGGCCAUUUUUCUCCACUUGUAGUGGAGAUUUAACAAAAUUU